UAAAGCUCUGUUGUUAAAGAAGAACACGUAUGAGAGUAACUGUUCAUACGUUGACGGUAUUUAACCAGAAAGUCACGGCUAACUACGUGCCAGCAGCCGCGGUAAUACGUAGGUGGCAAGCGUUAUCCGGAUUUAUUGGGCGUAAAGAGAGUGCAGGCGGUUUUCUAAGUCUGAUGUGAAAGCCUUCGGCUUAACCGGAGAAGUGCAUCGGAAACUGGAUAACUUGAGUGCAGAAGAGGGUAGUGGAACUCCAUGUGUAGCGGUGGAAUGCGUAGAUAUAUGGAAGAACACCAGUGGCGAAGGCGGCUACCUGGUCUGCAACUGACGCUGAGACUCGAAAGCAUGGGUAGCGAACAGGAUUAGAUACCCUGGUAGUCCAUGCCGUAAACGAUGAGUGCUAGGUGUUGGAGGGUUUCCGCCCUUCAGUGCCGGAGCUAACGCAUUAAGCACUCCGCCUGG
rnacentral:rRNA from 1 species